UACGAAGGGGACUAGCGUUGUUCGGAUUUACUGGGCGUAAAGCGCGCGCAGGCGGUCUUCCAAGUCAGUGGUGAAAGCCUGGAGCUCAACUCCAGAACUGCCAUUGAAACUGUUAGACUUGAGUACGAGAGAGGUGAGUGGAAUUCCCAGUGUAGAGGUGAAAUUCGUAGAUAUUGGGAAGAACACCAGUGGCGAAGGCGGCUCACUGGCUCGUAACUGACGCUCAGGCGCGACAGCGUGGGGAUCGAAACAGG
rnacentral:rRNA from 1 species